GACGAACGCUGGCGGCGUGCCUAACACAUGCAAGUCGAGCGAAUGAAGUUCCUUCGGGAAUGGAUUUAGCGGCGGACGGGUGAGUAACACGUGGGCAACCUGCCUCAUAGAGGGGAAUAGCCUUCCGAAAGGGAGAUUAAUACCGCAUAAGAUUGUAGUAUCGCAUGAUACAGCAAUUAAAGGAGCAAUCCGGUGCGAGAUGGGCCCGCGGCGCAUUAGCUUGUUGGUGAGGUAACGGCUCACCAAGGCGACGAUGCGUAGCCGACCCGAGAGGGUGAGCGGACACGCCGGGACUGAGACACGGCCCAGACCCCAACGGGAGGGAGGGGUGGGGUAGGGGACACUAUGGGAGCGAGCCAAAUGUGAUGAAGCAGCGCGGGGGAAGAGGGGACGGGGUUUGGGUUGUAAAGCUAUGUCUGAAGAGACGAUAAUGACGGUACCUGAGGAGGAAGCAACGGCUAACUACGUG
rnacentral:rRNA from 1 species